GCCGCUUUAGAAACCUAUUUAUAGUAUACAUCAAAAAGAAGAGAAAUGCUCUCUUCAGUUGGACUAUACCUACACCAAAUUUAUUUUGCUUUCUAAGCAAUGGUUUGUAGUCCCCAUAAAAUCAAAAAAAUGUAUUGGUACAAUUGUAUGCAACACAAGUAUUAUGAGUACAGAAUAAAAUGUAAACUCAGUGUUGAAAGUAAUUAUGAUGUAAAAC
rnacentral:lncRNA from 1 species